rnacentral:rRNA from 1 species
CGUGCAAAGGUAGCACAAUCACUUGUCCCUUAAAUAGGGACUAGUAUGAACGGCUUCAUGAGAAAGCAACUGUCUCUUAGGAUUGAUCUGUGAAACUUAUCUCCUCGUACAAAAGCGAGAAUAGAAAAAUUAGACAAAAAGACCCUGUGAAGCUUAAAACCAAAUUUCAACCAAAAUGAAACACGGUUUUUAGUUGGGGCAACUAAGGAGAAACAAAACCUCCACAGAUAUCAAGGCCCACAAGCCUAAACAAUAAACUAUUGAUCCGAUAAUAUCGAACAAAGAACCAAGUUACUCCAGGGAUAACAGCACCACAUUCUUGCAGAGUCCAUAUCAACAAGAAUACCUACGACCUCGAUGUUGGAUCAGGAUAUCCUGAUGGUGCAGAAGCUAUCAAGGGUCCG